UCUUAACCCUGAUUGUAGUGAAAAGCAUUUUGAAAUAAAAAAAACAUUUCCUGAAUAAAAACAGCGACCAGCGGAAGCUCGUUUUUAAUCAUAGGAAAUGCCUUUUUUAUGAAAAAUCUUGUAACGGAAAGCAGGAAAUAGU
rnacentral:sRNA from 1 species